rnacentral:rRNA from 1 species
AGAGUUUGAUCAUGGCUCAGGAUGAACGCUAGCGACAGGCUUAACACAUGCAAGUCGAGGGGCAGCACGAUGUAGCAAUACAUUGGUGGCGACCGGCGCACGGGUGAGUAACGCGUAUGCAACCUACCUAUCAGAGGGGAAUAACCCGGCGAAAGUCGGACUAAUACCGCAUAAAACAGGGGUUCCACAUGGAAAUAUUUGUUAAAGAAUUAUCGACUGAUAGAUGGGCAUGCGUUCCAUUAGAUAGUUGGUGAGGUAACGGCUCACCAAGUCUACGAUGGAUAGGGGUUCUGAGAGGAAGGUCCCCCACACUGGUACUGAGACACGGACCAGACUCCUACGGGAGCA